rnacentral:rRNA from 1 species
AUGCUUCCGCCAUUACGUAUGAGGGGCCACACCAAGGUCAAAGAGAUGAACUACGACAACCGCUACGAGCCAUAUUACAGGAGAGCCGGGCUCUUGGGUUUCGUGCUCCAGUUCAAGCGUACGCCGCCGACGCUUGUCCACACGGCUCUCACAGCGUUGGUGGACCGUUGGCGGCCCGAGACGCACUCUUUCCAUCUCCCAUGUGGUGAGAUGACGGUGACGCUCGAGGACUUUGCCAUGAUCACGGCCCUAUCGAUCAAGGGCCAUGCUCUCAUUGGGCGCGUGGAUAGGAAGAACUGGCCGGACAGGGUUACCGCCCUCAUCGGCGACUGCCCUCCCAUCAAGAGUAACCGAACAUCCGAUGUAGCACUGGCAUGGCUCCUAGACCACCGGGCCGAAUGCCCGCAAGAUGCGGAUCCGAGGACUGCUCGGGGGACAACGCCCUAUGGAUGUACCUAG